rnacentral:tRNA from 1 species
UAGAAAGUAGUAUAAUCAGUAAAACAAAGAAUUUUGAUUUCUUUACUAUAAGUUCAAAUCUUAUCUUUCUAA